UCCCUCGUAGCUCAAUGGUAGAGCGGGCGGCUGUUAACCGCCAGGUUACUGGUUCGAGUCCAGUCGGGGGAG
rnacentral:tRNA from 1 species